rnacentral:rRNA from 1 species
GACAGAGGUGGCAAGCGUUGUCCGGACUGACUGGGCGUAAAGCGCACGCAGGUGGUCGUGCAAGUGUGGUGUGAAAGCGCCCGGCUUAACCGGGCGAGGCCAUUGCAAACUGCACGACUGGAGAACGGGAGAGGUCGGUGGAAUUGCCGGAGUAGUAGUGAAAUGCGUAGAGAUCGGCAGGAACACCACAGGCGAAAGCAGCCGACUGGCCCGCUUCUGACACUCAGGUGCGACAGCGUGGGGAGCGAACUGG